GAUGAACGCUGGCUACAGGCUUAACACAUGCAAGUCGAGGGGAAACGACGGGGAAGCUUGCUUCCCCGGGCGUCGACCGGCGCACGGGUGAGUAACGCGUAUCCAACCUGCCUCUGACUGAGGGAUAACCCGUCGAAAGUCGGCCUAAUACCUCAUGGCAUCGUCUGCGGGCAUCCAACGACGAUUAAAGAUUUCAUCGGUCAGAGAUGGGGAUGCGUCUGAUAGCUUGUUGGCGGGGUAACGGCCCACCAAGGCGACGAUCAGUAGGGGUUCUGAGAGGAAGGUCCCCCACAUUGGAACUGAGACACGGUCCAAACUCCUACGGGAGGCAGCAGUGAGGAAUAUUGGUCAAUGGGCGAGAGCCUGAACCAGCCAAGUAGCGUGCAGGAUGACGGCCCUAUGGGUUGUAAACUGCUUUUAUGCGGGGAUAAAGUGAGGGACGUGUCCUUCAUUGCAGGUACCGCAUGAAUAAGGACCGGCUAAUUCCGUG
rnacentral:rRNA from 1 species